UGAAAUAAUUGGAAAAGAAAUAACUUGUUUCAAUGUGUCACAUGCCACGAAUGGCAUUUUUGUAAAUAAGCCGUCCACUAAUCAAAACGACCGUGUUUUGGUCCAGGAAAUGAAAUGAGCUGAUUGGCUGUGAGGGAUUUGGAAUAGUAAAGCCAAGCACACGUGAAAAUGAAGUUCUGGGCAUUGCAAGUUCUAGGGUUUUACUGUAGCAAACAGCAUUCCUUCACCAUUUCAAAAAAACAGCAAGAGCAUUUGUUAACCAAAAU
rnacentral:lncRNA from 1 species